GCCCUAGUGGUGCAGUGGUUAAAACAUUCAGCUGCUAAUCGAAAGGUUGGUGGUUUGAACCCACCAGGGGCU
rnacentral:tRNA from 1 species